UGGGGUUUAGCUCAGUGGUAGAGCGCUUGCCUAGGAAGCGCAAGGCCCUGGGUUCGGUCCCCAGCUCCAA
rnacentral:tRNA from 1 species